AGACAUAGGUAACAGAUUGCACAAACACAUUGAAACAUUUUCAGCUGUUCACUAACACUGUUACAUUUUCUGCAAUUUUCAAUUGCAUGGCAGAAUACGUAAGUAAGAUAGAGAACAACUAUCGACAUUCUAAGCAUAUUGCAAUGUUAACUUAUUGGAAUAGGAAAGACGAAUACUAAAUUUUUCAAGAAGAAGAAAACGAAAAGCGCAGUUUAUUUUGGAUUUUAAAGAGAGAAAACGAAAAAGCUUGGAGAAAAAGAUAAGCAUUGAAUUGAAUCAUCACAAAUUGUGGUACCGUCACUAUCGCCGGAACGCACGUGCGCUUCGUGGAAGACAAUCUUUCACAAAAGGAAAGCACGGAUGCUAUGAUGCGGCUAAUAUUGAAAUCAAAGGGCGCAAAAGGUAGUGUGGACAGUAUGUUUUCUGACGAUCUAAUAUACCACUACAAUUUACAGGGGCGCAAGGAGAAGGAAUCCCUACUAAAGCUAAAGUGCGUAGGGUUAGUUUUUGAAAUAUUUCCUGACAAAGACAAAGACGCUAUCUGUGGAGAGCUCUGGAGAUUUGUGACCUUUGGCCACAAUCGUUUUUAACAAAAAAAAAAACAUAAACUUAAGGCUAAAUGAAUAUAAGUUUUCUUAUUAUUAAUUACAUAUACAUAUAUAUUAGCUUUAAGUUUUAAAUAUUAGUUUUAAGUUGAACAUUAGUUCUAAGUUGUACAUAUUAGUCUUAAGUUGAUGUUUCUAAUAUCACUUUUAAAAAUAUGAAUUAUUAUAAUUUAAAUUUUUAUACUGAAAUAACCUUAAUCUAAUGUUUAAGUAAAUGUUUAUUAUUAAAUAAAACGAAAUAAUAAAAAAACUGAAUUUUAUUUAAAAGAAUUAAAUUUGCUAGAAGUAACAAAUGGGAACAGAUAGCGUUGUUACUGCUUGUUCUUACUAA